UAAUUGAAGAGUUUGAUCAUGGCUCAGAUUGAACGCUGGCGGCAGGCCUAACACAUGCAAGUCGAGCGGCAGCGGGAGGAAGCUUGCUUCCUCGCCGGCGAGCGGCGGACGGGUGAGUAAUGUCUGGGGAUCUGCCCGAUGGAGGGGGAUAACCACUGGAAACGGUGGCUAAUACCGCAUAACGUCGCAAGACCAAAGUGGGGGACCUUCGGGCCUCACACCAUCGGAUGAACCCAGAUGGGAUUAGCUAGUAGGUGGGGUAAUGGCUCACCUAGGCGACGAUCCCUAGCUGGUCUGAGAGGAUGACCAGCCACACUGGAACUGAGACACGGUCCAGACUCCUACGGGAGGCAGCAGUGGGGAAUAUUGCACAAUGGGCGCAAGCCUGAUGCAGCCAUGCCGCGUGUGUGAAGAAGGCCUUCGGGUUGUAAAGCACUUUCAGCGAGGAGGAAGGUGGUGAGCUUAAUACGCUCAUCAAUUGACGUUACUCGCAGAAGAAGCACCGGCUAACUCCGUGCCAGCAGCCGCGGUAAUACGGAGGGUGCAAGCGUUAAUCGGAAUUACUGGGCGUAAAGCGCACGCAGGCGGUUUGUUAAGUCAGAUGUGAAAUCCCCGAGCUUAACUUGGGAACUGCAUUUGAAACUGGCAAGCUAGAGUCUCGUAGAGGGGGGUAGAAUUCCAGGUGUAGCGGUGAAAUGCGUAGAGAUCUGGAGGAAUACCGGUGGCGAAGGCGGCCCCCUGGACGAAGACUGACGCUCAGGUGCGAAAGCGUGGGGAGCAAACAGGAUUAGAUACCCUGGUAGUCCACGCCGUAAACGAUGUCGAUUUGGAGGUUGUGCCCUUGAGGCGUGGCUUCCGGAGCUAACGCGUUAAAUCGACCGCCUGGGGAGUACGGCCGCAAGGUUAAAACUCAAAUGAAUUGACGGGGGCCCGCACAAGCGGUGGAGCAUGUGGUUUAAUUCGAUGCAACGCGAAGAACCUUACCUACUCUUGACAUCCAGAGAACUUAGCAGAGAUGCUUUGGUGCCUUCGGGAACUCUGAGACAGGUGCUGCAUGGCUGUCGUCAGCUCGUGUUGUGAAAUGUUGGGUUAAGUCCCGCAACGAGCGCAACCCUUAUCCUUUGUUGCCAGCGGUUCGGCCGGGAACUCAAAGGAGACUGCCAGUGAUAAACUGGAGGAAGGUGGGGAUGACGUCAAGUCAUCAUGGCCCUUACGAGUAGGGCUACACACGUGCUACAAUGGCGUAUACAAAGAGAAGCGAACCUGCGAAGGCAAGCGGACCUCAUAAAGUACGUCGUAGUCCGGAUUGGAGUCUGCAACUCGACUCCAUGAAGUCGGAAUCGCUAGUAAUCGUAGAUCAGAAUGCUACGGUGAAUACGUUCCCGGGCCUUGUACACACCGCCCGUCACACCAUGGGAGUGGGUUGCAAAAGAAGUAGGUAGCUUAACCUUCGGGAGGGCGCUUACCACUUUGUGAUUCAUGACUGGGGUGAAGUCGUAACAAGGUAACCGUAGGGGAACCUGCGGUUGGAUCACCUCCUUA
rnacentral:rRNA from 1 species